rnacentral:rRNA from 1 species
CCUACGGGAGGCAGCAGUGGGGGAUAUUGCACAAUGGGGGAAACCCUGAUGCAGCGACGCCGCGUGUGGGAAGACGGUCCUCUGGAUUGUAAACCACUGUCCCCAGGGACGAAGAUGACGGUACCUGGGGAGGAAGCUUCGGCUAACUACGUCCCAGCAGCCGCGGUAAUACGUAGGGAACGAGCGUUGUUCGGAAUUACUCGGUGAAAGGGGAGCGUAGGCGGGGUUGAAGGGUGGGUGGAAAGACUACGGGCUCAACUGGGAGUCGCACUCGAAACUGGAGCUCUUGAGUGAAGUAGGGGCAGGCGGAAUUCAUGGUGUAGCGGUGAAAUGCGUAGAUAUUAGGAAGAACACCAGUGGCGAAGGCG